GACGAACGCUGGCGGCGUGCUUAACACAUGCAAGUCGAACGGAAAGGCCCUGCUUUUGUGGGGUGCUCGAGUGGCGAACGGGUGAGUAACACGUGAGUAACCUGCCCUUGACUUUGGGAUAACUUCAGGAAACUGGGGCUAAUACCGGAUAGGAGCUCCUGCUGCAUGUGGGGGGUGGAAAGUUUCGGCGGGUGGGGAUGGACUCGCGGCUUAUCAGCUUGUUGGUGGGGUAGUGGCUUACCAAGGCUUUGGCGGGUAGCCGGCCUGAGAGGGUGACCGGCCACAUUGGGACUGAGAUACGGCCCAGACUCCUACGGGAGGCAGCAGUGGGGAAUAUUGCACAAUGGGCGGAAGCCUGAUGCAGCAACGCCGCGUGCGGGAUGACGGCCUUCGGGUUGUAAACCGCUUUCGCCUGUGACGAAGCGUGAGUGACGGUAAUGGGUAAAGAAGCACCGGCUAACUACGUG
rnacentral:rRNA from 1 species